UGGCGGUGGCGGAGGACAUGGCGACUGGCGGCUGUGGUCCGCCACUGGGUGCCUUGGCGGUUGGCGGUUCCGCCGCCGGCACC
rnacentral:tRNA from 1 species